rnacentral:misc_RNA from 1 species
GAUGAAGAACGUAGCGAAAUGCGAUAAGUAAUGUGAAUUGCAGAAUUCAGUGAAUCAUCGAAUCUUUGAACGCACAUUGCGCCCUCUGGUAUUCCGGGGGGCAUGCCUGUUCGAGCGUCAUUAUAACCACUCAAGCUCUCGCUUGGUAUUGGGGUUCGCGGUUUCGCGGCCCCUAAAAUCAGUGGCGGUGCCUGUCGGCUCUACGCGUAGUAAUACUUCUCGCGAUUGAGUUCGAUAGGUCUACUUGCCAGUAACCCCCAAUUUUUACAGGUUGACCUCGGAUCAGGUAGGGAUACCCGCUGAACUUAAGCAUAUCAAAAGCGGAGGA